UACGGAGGGGGCUAGCGUUGUUCGGAAUUACUGGGCGUAAAGCGCGCGUAGGCGGGCUGUUAAGUCGGGGGUGAAAUCCCGGUGCUCAACCCCGGGACUGCCUUCGAUACUGGCAGCCUAGAGGAAGGCAGAGGCUAGUGGAAUGGCGAGUGUAGAGGUGAAAUUCGUAGAUAUUCGCCGGAACACCAGUGGCGAAGGCGACUGGCUGGGCCUUUUUUGACGCUGAGGUGCGAAAGCGUGGGGAGCAAACAGG
rnacentral:rRNA from 1 species